rnacentral:rRNA from 1 species
UACGGGGGAUGCAAGCGUUAUCCGGAAUCAUUGGGCGUAAAGCGCCUGUAGGUUGUUUAAUAAGUCUGUUGUUAAAGACUAGGGCUUAACCCUAGGAAAGCAAUGGAAACUACUAGACUUGAGUAUGAUAGGGGUAGAGGGAAUUUCUAGUGUAGCGGUGAAAUGCGUAGAUAUUAGAAAGAACACCGGCGGCGAAGGCGCUCUACUGGAUCAUUACUGACACUCAGAGGCGAAAGCUAGGGUAGCAAAAGGGAUUAGAUACCCCUGUAGUCCUAGCCGUAAACGAUGGAUACUACAUGUUGCGUUUUUAAUGCAGUGUGGUAGCUAACGCGUUAAGUAUCCCGCCUGGGGAGUACGGUCGCAAGGCUG